CGGGGUAUAGUAUAGUGGCAGUACGCACGCUUCGGGUGCGUGUGGUCUCGGUUCGAUUCCGAGUACCCCGA
rnacentral:tRNA from 1 species